GACGAACGCUGGCGGCGUGCUUAACACAUGCCAGUCGAACGGAAAGGCCCUGCUGUUGUGUUGUGCUCGAGUGGCGAACGGGUGAGUAGCACGUGAGUAACCUGCCCUUUACUCUGGGAUAACUUCAGGGAACUGGGGCUAAUACCGGAUAGGAGCUCCUGCUGCAUGUUGGGGGUUGGAAAGUUUCGGCGGUUGGGGAUGGACUCGCGGCUUAUCAGCUUGUUGGUGGGGGAGUUGCUUACCAAGGCUGUGACCGGUAGCCGGCAUGAGAGGGUGAACGGGGACAUGGGGCCUGAGAUACGGCGCAGUCUCCAACGGGAGGCAGCAGUGGGGAAUCUUGCACAAUGGGCGGAAGCCUGAUGCAGAAACGCCGCGUGCGGGAUGACGGCCUUCGGGUUGUAAACCAGUUUGUCAGGUGAUGAAGCGUGAGUGACGGUAAUGGGUAAAGAAGCACCGGCUAACUACGUG
rnacentral:rRNA from 1 species